GGUUUGAUCUUGGCUCAGGAUGAACGCUAGCGGCAGGCUUAACACAUGCAAGUCGAGGGGUAGAAGGAGCUUGCUCCUUUGAGACCGGCGCACGGGUGCGUAACGCGUAUGCAAUCUACCUUGUACAGGGGGAUAGCCCAGAGAAAUUUGGAUUAAUACCCCAUAGUGUAAUGAAACGGCAUCGUUUUAUUACUAAAGUUCCAACGGUACAAGAUGAGCAUGCGUCCCAUUAGCUAGUUGGUGUGGUAACGGCAUACCAAGGCAACGAUGGGUAGGGGUCCUGAGAGGGAGAUCCCCCACACUGGUACUGAGACACGGACCAGACUCCUACGGGAGGCAGCAGUGAGGAAUAUUGGUCAAUGGGCGCAAGCCUGAACCAGCCAUGCCGCGUGCA
rnacentral:rRNA from 1 species